GACGAACGCUGGCGGCGUGCUUAACACAUGCAAGUCGAGCGGAAAGGCCACUUCGGUGGUACUCGAGCGGCGAACGGGUGAGUAACACGUGAGUAAUCUGCCCUUCACUUUGGGAUAACCCCCGGAAACGGGAGCUAAUACCGGAUACGACCUUCAACCGCAUGGUUUGUUGGUGGAAACUUUUUUGGGUGGGGGAUGUGCUCGCGGCCUAUCAGCUUGUUGGUGGGGUAAUGGCCUACCAAGGCUUUGACGGGUAGCCGGCCUGAGAGGGUGACCGGCCACAAGUGGACUGAGACACGGCCCAGACUCCUACGGGAGGCAGCAGUGGGGAAUAUUGGGCAAUGGGCGGAAGCCUGAUCCAGCAACGCCGCGUGAGGGAUGACGGCCUUCGGGUUGUAAACCUCUUUCAGCACCGACGAAGCGCAAGUGACGGUAGGUGCAGAAGAAGGACCGGCCAACUACGUGCCAGCCGCCGCGGUAACAC
rnacentral:rRNA from 1 species